rnacentral:misc_RNA from 1 species
ACAACAGCUCGUCUUUUGGAUAAAGUAAUUCUUCUUCUUUCCUGGCUUAUUUUUAAACACUGUUGUAGAGAUUAGGAUAAGAUCUGGUGUCCUGGUCUUGCCAUAUUGGUGCCACUUUCAGGAAGAAAUAGCAAAUGCUUGUGACAAGUAGCCAGCUGUUAAUUGCAUUAUAGUGCACUGUGAAUUGUGGUGUUUUACCAUCAAAUAUGCAUAAAUUGCUUUGAAUGUAGUUCUGGUAGUGUCCCCACUCAAUUUAAAAUAAAAAUCUUAUCCUUUUUAUUUUUCUUGUUUGUGAGCAUGGCAGUUCAGGCUGGUGGGGUGCUUUAUAUGGUUUGACCUCUAAAUAAAAUGCUCUGAUGGUGAUUUUCUACUUUCAAUAUUGGUGGGAGACAUAAUAUAAUACUUUGACAUUCAAUUUCUGCAUGUAAUUAUUUGUCUGAAGAGUAAUUACUGAUGAGUAUUCUAUCACGUUGAGAUUUAUAUUUACUUAUUAUUUUGGCUAUUUAACCAUUAAAAGGGGCACAAGUACCAAAUUUGGGCUUAUGCUGUAUAAUGUUUGUUAUAUUCGUGUUUACAGCUGGUGGGGCACUUUCUAGAAGAA